rnacentral:rRNA from 1 species
GACGAACGCUGGCGGCGUGCUUAAUACAUGCAAGUCGACUGAACUUAAGGUAGCAAUAUUUUAAGGGAGGUGGCGCACGGGUGAGUAACACGUAGGUAAUCUGCCUUUAGGACUGACAUAACUCCGCGAAAGCGGAGCUAAUUUCAGAUGAUGCAGCGGCUCGACAUCGAGACAGUUGUUAAACCUUCGGGGCCUAAAGAUGAGCCUGCGUCUGAUUAGGUAGUUGGCGGAGUAAUAGCCCACCAAGCCAUCGAUCAGUAGCUGGUCUGAGAGGAUGAUCAGCCACACUGGAACUGAGACACGGUCCAGACUCCUACGGGAGGCAGCAGUGGGGAAUAUUGGACAAUGGGCGCAAGCCUGAUCCAGCCAUGCCGCGUGAGUGAUGAAGGUCUUCGGAUUGUAAAACUCUUUCGCCGGGGAAGAUAAUGACGGUACCCGGAGAAGAAGCUCCGGCUAACUU